rnacentral:rRNA from 1 species
GAUGAACGCUGGCGGCGUGCCUAAUACAUGCAAGUCGAGCGAACGGACGAGAAGCUUGCUUCUCUGAUGUUAGCGGCGGACGGGUGAGUAACACGUGGAUAACCUACCUAUAAGACUGGGAUAACUUCGGGAAACCGGAGCUAAUACCGGAUAAUAUUUUGAACCGCAUGGUUCAAAAAUGAAAGACGGUCUUGCUGUCACUUAUAGAUGGAUCCGCGCUGCAUUAGCUAGUUGGUAAGGUAACGGCUUACCAAGGCAACGAUGCAUAGCCGACCUGAGAGGGUGAUCGGCCACACUGGAACUGAGACACGGUCCAGACUCCUACGGGAGGCAGCAGUAGGGAAUCUUCCGCAGUGGGCGAAAGCCUGACGGAGCAACGCCGCGUGAGUGAUGAAGGUCUUCGGAUCGUAAAACUCUGUUAUUAGGGAAGAACAUAUGUGUAAGUAACUGUGCACAUCUUGACGGUACCUAAUCAGAAAGCCACGGCUAACUACGUG